rnacentral:piRNA from 1 species
UGUGUUGUCGGGAAUUGACUGCCUAGAUU